rnacentral:rRNA from 1 species
UGGGGAAUAUUGGACAAUGGGCGAAAGCCUGAUCCAGCCAUGCCGCGUGUGUGAAGAAGGUCUUCGGAUUGUAAAGCACUUUAAGUUGGGAGGAAGGGCAGUAAAUUAAUACUUUGCUGUUUUGACGUUACCGACAGAAUAAGCACCGGCUAACUCUGUGCCAGCAGCCGCGGUAAUACAGAGGGUGCAAGCGUUAAUCGGAAUUACUGGGCGUAAAGCGCGCGUAGGUGGUUCGUUAAGUUGGAUGUGAAAUCCCCGGGCUCAACCUGGGAACUGCAUUCAAAACUGACGAGCUAGAGUAUGGUAGAGGGUGGUGGAAUUUCCUGUGUAGCGGUGAAAUGCGUAGAUAUAGGAAGGAACACCAGUGGCGAAGGCGACCACCUGGACUGAUACUGACACUGAGGUGCGAAAGCGUGGGGAGCAAACAGGAUUAGAUA